rnacentral:siRNA from 1 species
UGGACCGACGCGGAUUACGG